rnacentral:rRNA from 1 species
GGCGCGCAAAUUACCCACUCCCGGCACGGGGAGGUAGUGACGAAAAAUAACGAUACGGGACUCAUCCGAGGCCCCGUAAUCGGAAUGAGUACACUUUAAAUCCUUUAACGAGGAUCAAUUGGAGGGCAAGUCUGGUGCCAGCAGCCGCGGUAAUUCCAGCUCCAAUAGCGUAUAUUAAAGUUGUUGCGGUUAAAAAGCUCGUAGUCGAAUUUGUGUCUCAUGCCGCUGGUUCAUCGUUCGCGGUGUAAACUGGCGUGACAUGGGACGUCCUGCCGGUGGGCUUAGCUCUUAACGGGGCGGCCCUAUAUAAUCCUGCCGCGUUGCUCUUAAUCGAGUGUCGAGGUGGGCCGGCUCAUUUACUUUGAACAAAUUAAAGUGCUUAAAGCAGGCUAAAAUUUUGCCUGAAUAUGUGUGCAUGGAAUAAUGGAAUAGGACCUCGGUUCUAUUUUGUUGGUUUUAGGAACACCGAGGUAAUGAUUAAUAGGAACGGAUGGGGGCAUUCGUAUUGCGACGUUAGAGGUGAAAUUCUUGGAUCGUCGCAAGACGAACAUAAGCGAAAGCAUUUGCCAAAAACGUUUUCAUUGAUCAAGAACGAAAGUUAGAGGUUCGAAGGCGAUCAGAUACCGCCCUAGUUCUAACCAUAAACGAUGCCAGCCAGCGAUCCGCCGAUGUUCCUCCGAUGACUCGGCGGGCAGCUUCCGGGAAACCAAAGCUUUUGGGUUCCGGGGGAAGUAUGGUUGCAAAGCUGAAACUUAAAGGAAUUGACGGAAGGGCACCACCAGGAGUGGAGCCUGCGGCUUAAUUUGACUCAACACGGGAAACCUCACCAGGCCCAGACACUGGAAGGAUUGACAGAUUGAGAGCUCUUUCUUGAUUCAGUGGGUGGUGGUGCAUGGCCGUUCUUAGUUGGUGGAGCGAUUUGUCUGGU